CUUUCUUUGCUGGCGACCGGCGCACGGGUGAGUAACACGUAUCCAACCUGCCCUUUACUCGGGGAUAGCCUUUCGAAAGAAAGAUUAAUACCCGAUAGCAUAAUGAUUCCGCAUGGUUUCAUUAUUAAAGGAUUCCGGUAAAGGAUGGGGAUGCGUUCCAUUAGGUUGUUGGUGAGGUAACGGCUCACCAAGCCUUCGAUGGAUAGGGGUUCUGAGAGGAAGGUCCCCCACAUUGGAACUGAGACACGAUCCAAACUCCUACGGGAGGCAGCAUG
rnacentral:rRNA from 1 species